AGCUUGCUCCCUGAUGUCAGCGGCGGACGGGUGAGUAACACGUGGGUAACCUGCCUGUAAGACUGGGAUAACUCCGGGAAACCGGGGCUAAUACCGGAUGCUUGAUUGAACCGCAUGGUUCAAUUAUAAAAGGUGGCUUUUAGCUACCACUUACAGAUGGACCCGCGGCGCAUUAGCUAGUUGGUGAGGUAACGGCUCACCAAGGCGACGAUGCGUAGCCGACCUGAGAGGGUGAUCGGCCACACUGGGACUGAGACACGGCCCAGACUCCUACGGGAGGCAGCAGUAGGGAAUCUUCCGCAAUGGACGAAAGUCUGACGGAGCAACGCCGCGUGAGUGAUGAAGGUUUUCGGAUCGUAAAACUCUGUUGUUAGGGAAGAACAAGUACCGUUCGAAUAGGGCGGUACCUUGACGGUACCUAACCAGAAAGCCACGGCUAACUACGUGCCAGCAGCCGCGGUAAUACGUAGGUGGCAAGCGUUGUCCGGAAUUAUUGGGCGUAAAGCGCGCGCAGGCGGUUUCUUAAGUCUGAUGUGAAAGCCCCCGGCUCAACCGGGGAGGGUCAUUGGAAACUGGGGAACUUGAGUGCAGAAGAGGAGAGUGGAAUUCCACGUGUAGCGGUGAAAUGCGUAGAGAUGUGGAGGAACACCAGUGGCGAAGGCGACUCUCUGGUCUGUAACUGACGCUGAGGCGCGAAAGCGUGGGGAGCGAACAGGAUUAGAUACCCUGGUAGUCCACGCCGUAAACGAUGAGUGCUAAGUGUUAGAGGGUUUCCGCCCUUUAGUGCUGCAGCAAACGCAUUAAGCACUCCGCCUGGGGAGUACGGUCGCAAGACUGAAACUCAAAGGAAUUGACGGGGGCC
rnacentral:rRNA from 1 species